UACGAAGGGGGCUAGCGUUGCUCGGAAUCACUGGGCGUAAAGCGCACGUAGGCGGAUUGCUAAGUCAGGGGUGAAAUCCUGGAGCUCAACUCCAGAACUGCCUUUGAUACUGAGAAGCUUGAGUCCGGGAGAGGUGAGUGGAACUGCGAGUGUAGAGGUGAAAUUCGUAGAUAUUCGCAAGAACACCAGUGGCGAAGGCGGCUCACUGGCCCGGUACUGACGCUGAGGUGCGAAAGCGUGGGAGCA
rnacentral:rRNA from 1 species